GCCGCCAUCAUCCACCGGAGGCGCCGCCGGGCGCACGCGGCCGCCGCCGCCGCUGCCAUUCGCCGCUCCGCCCCCGCCCUGCUGCGGGAGGAGGAAGACGAAGAGGCCGAGCAUGCGGCGCACGAUCCCCUUCAGCACCGAGCCCCUCUUCGGGACGUAGCGAGGGUGGACUCCCGGCGGAGGCGGCUUCUUCCCCCCUCCUACUCCGCCGCCGCCGAGCAUAACGAGAGAGGAGCAGCGAAGGAAAGGCUGGGGAAGAUGGCGGGAACUGGAGCGGAAGUGGCGCGAGAUGGCGACAGCGUGAGAGCGUAAGCGAGAUGAUGAGCGCACGACUACGUCUGAACUUUUUUGGGGGCGGUUUCCGCAGGUGGAAGUUAGCGAGUAGCCAUCGGCCAUGUGGCGCCAUGGCCGUCGCCCAUGGCCGUGGGAAAAGCUCAACGGGCCCCUCCGAUUUGCGGCUAAACCGUUCAAGACGUCGCCUUUCUGCUGCACUCGCCAUCAAAUUCAUCAUCUUUUCUUCCUCUUCGUGCACUGUGGGACGAAGGAAGCAUCUGCAGGAGCAGUGUGUGUGGCCGUGUGUGGAGGUCGGUGAAAACCGAAUACAAUGAUGCCUCAACUCAACUCUCGCCGCAAACACGGUCAGGCAAGACUCAAGAGUGCUACAGUUUAUUGGCGAGCUUGUUUGUAGCUGGCAUGAAAGGACGCUGGUCACUUUGUUCUACCAGGUGAUGGCUUUCUGUUCGUUUCACAUCGGCAAACCGCAAGUGGCGAACUGGGGGGCAGAUUUUACAUGGAAACGAUAGUGCAGACGGCAGGAUGGAGAGAAUAAAAAUAACACUGGAACUAUGAGAAAGGGAGGGCAACUGGGCAAGAACAGCACUGGAAUCCUGGAAAAAGAAGGAGAGAGGAAAAAAAAAGAUUAUCCUUACUCUAUGUUCUUUGGAAAUUUAGUUACCAAAGCAUUUUUUUUCGGUGUGCAAAAUUUAGCGGUGAUUCUAUGUCCAGUAGGUACACUGAAGAUGAGGGCAGUGACCAAGUGAAGAAACAUUGAAAGAUUGACUUCGGGUCAGGGUCAGUGUCCCGGAGAGAAACUGGUCGCGUCCAGUGAUCGGAUUUAAUGAAUGACUCUGAUCGAGCCAACUAAUGAGAGAAGAGGAACUGUAAAAGGUCAGUCUGAAAACCUGACCUUGACUUCUGACUUCUCUCACAAAAUUUGAGCUGGCGAAUUCUGUCUUGUGCAGGCAACAUUAGUUCUUGCCCAUGUUCAUCCCAGUGGCAGGUUUUCUUCGUUCUGAAUGUACUGACUAUAAAAGGCAUGGAUCGUACCAAAUUGUUGGAGAAUGUACUAUACUACUGAAGUACUGAACGGAUAUUUGAAUUUCAGAAAUGUGUUUAGCCACAAGCUAGUACUCCAUUCCAAAAUAGACUUAUUCAGAUUUAUCGUAGUAAUAUUAUAUAUCACAUCCCAUAUUAAAUUUCUUUAUUUUGGAACGGAUGGAGUACGUGCUUAAGUCUUAGUACUAGUUUGGAUGAACUUUCAUAUGAGUAAAUGGGUAAUAGCUCGAAGUACAGAAUAAGUUAAUGUGAUGCAGUGUUCUCUCACGCUAUAUUCAAUGAAAAGUCACAAUUAUGCGCUAUUUUCCCUUCAAAAAAAUGUAAUACAGGUCCCCUAGUUCAUAGUUCAUACAUAUCCAUCAAAAUCACUUCUGAAUAAAGGAAAUGGAAUACGAUGUCACCAUUCUGCUUCGGAACAAAUCCUUUCCUUCUGUUUACAGUAAGUAAGAUGAUGUUGAUGUAUAGUAGGACAAGUGUAGGAAAUGUGGACUCUGGUCAAUGUUGAGAUGCGUUGAGCAGAAGUAAUCAAGUUUAUUGAUGAUGCAGCUGAUGCAACGCUGUACAAUUGGGCUAAUGGAAUUAUUACCAAAUACUAAUGAUUCCUUUCCAGAAACAAAAAGGUAAUCAAUCUGGUUGAAGCCACUGGAUGCAGCCAAGAGCCCAACAUGGCUGCAGAUCCGGCCACCAACCAACCAUUGCAACAGAGCAAGAACUAAACAAAGCAAGAAAAAGUCAAAGUCUAAAAGCUGACUUGGACUUCUGACUUUUCCCCAUUAUUUAUUUUUGUCCUACGUAGUCUUUUUCUGUUAUAAAGAAAUCACAACUCGCAAACAAUUCUUUGCACCUGACUGGUUCUGCGCUUUCUGCUGUUUAGUCUACGAUUAUUCAGAGACGCAGCAUCAAAUGAUAACUAAACAUCUGAAACAGAACACCUGAAAAGUCCUGCUCUAUCAAUAGAACUUCGCACCGUCUCGUUAAGAAAAAGAACACCUGAAAAGGCUGAAGCUGAAUCCAGAUUUCAGAAUGCGAUAAGGCCCUGAGGAACACAAAUGAAAUCACGGGUUGCCAAGAAGGCAACAUACAAUUCACAAAGCUAAGUACAAACAAUCCUAAUGAAACACACGCGCGGUCCAUCGUGAUCGGUUGCCGUGUCUCGUGUGAAGAAGCUCGCCCAGCAAGAACCUAAGGGACGGGAAAGCGAGGCGCUAACCGACAUUGGCAGUUCGGUCGGUACACCGGGCCUCAGCCACGCACGGGCUUUCACCGGCCGGCCGGAAGAGGCCGGGUCUUGGCGGGGCGGAAGCAGCCGAAGAACCAGCCCAGCACGCUCUUCAGCACGACUCCUCUCUGCGGCACGUAGCGCGGGUGCGUCGCCGGUGCCGGUGCUGCAGCGCCGCGAGCUUUGCCGCCGAACGAGCUCCGCAUUGUAAGCUGGUGAUGCCUCCUCCGCUCCUUGUACGAGUGUAUCCUCCUCUUGAUCGGGACGGCGUCGGCGACAGAACUCGGCUUAGCUUUAGCUGCUGCUCUCUCUGCUGCUUGGGAGUUGAGAGACAGAGAGGGAUCUGUGGAUGAAGC